rnacentral:ncRNA from 1 species
GACCAACGGGUCGCGUACGGAGCCCGUCCGAGUCCGCCCAGGCGGCCGGAUGUAUGGGCUCGCGACGACUCGAUGGGAUGGGGAGUGCCCACCAUG